AUUAUUUUUCCAAAAAUAUGAUGCCCUUGCAAUGCUUGUAAAUUGUGUUUACCUAUUGGUCUUGAUGACGGAUGGAUGGUGUUCUAUAUCAGUAGCAUGCAGCUCAAGGAUUACUCUGAUAUAGUCUUGAUGUAGUUCAAUGAAAUUAUGACACAUGUCAAUAUGGUAUUCACACUAUUCUGAGGACAGCUAUUUGGAUCUCCCUAUUGUUAUUUGGGCAUUCCUGCACUGUACUUUAUCUUACAAGCACCAUUAAGUUCUUAAAAUGGCCAGCAAUGUGCAUUUUGAGUAGAACAUACAUAUUCUCUGAUAGCAACUCUAUAUUCAAUGAUGACCUUCCAUCCUAUAUCACCGCAGCGAAUAAAACACAUACACACGUCUUUUCUUUAUUGCAUUAAUAAACUUGGUCCACAUAUGUAGAGGGGUUGAUCUCAAGAUGAGGACUGUCUGUGAAAUGUGGCUUAGACUUUUUCUGGAUGUAUACUCCAUUAUUUUCAUGGUUGACCUCAUAUCAUGGCAGAUUUUUCGGAGAGCUCUGGAGAUGGACUAGUCUGAACAAAUCACCAUGUACAACUGGGUCACAUGGAUCAUAUGAGGAAAUUAAGGUCUAUGAAUGUUGAGGCAAAUAUCUUGUCAGCACUAUCUUGAAGCUAUCUGUUAGCAAAUCUUAUGACAGAAGUGUGUAAUUGAGGGCUUCUUAACUUAUAGGGUAAUCAACAUUGCAGUUUAUAGCUUUUUGAAAAUAUUUCUGAAAUUUCAAAUUCCCUGAUGGUAUGUCUAUGGAAAUUAUAAAAUUCUCUUGCCCCAAGAAGUUCUUGUUCUACCAUCCCACAUUGGCCCAAAACUUGCUUUAUUGCAUCAGGAAGCUUGUUCAGAAUGUUUGUUGCAGUUCUUAUGGCGUAGCUUGAUCGCUUCUUCCAUUAAGAAAAUUACUUCAGAAGGAUCUAGCUAGUAGGAUUUUCCAAUUUUGCAGUUUAAACCUGAUAAUUAUAAUGCAUAUUAUGAGUUGACAUCAAGUUCAAAGAGACUUGGUUUUGUUUUCUGUUUAAUGAUAUCACGCAAGCCAAUGAGCUUAUCUGUAAUGAAAUUUGAUGGAAUUCUCGGCAUGCUUUCAGUUCAGAGAGUAUUAUUAAGCCAUGUCUAGUUCUUGUGCCUUGCAGAUAAAUUGGAACCAUAAUCAAGUAGAAUUUUUUUCCUUGUUUAACUGGAGAUUCUUCUUAUGCUCUGGAACUUCUGAUGGUAGUUUCUGGUUUCUUGCAGUAUCCAAUAUGGCAGGUCUGGUGGUCAGAAAUGCUUUUCUAUUGGAGUUGUUUGAAGUGUUUUGCACACAAAUUUCAGGAGAUCUGAAAGUAUGGUAUUGAUCACUGGAAUUUAAGAGGUAUAGUUUGUGAAUCACAAGAAAAUUUUAUGAACCAUGGAAUAUCUUAAAUGCUGAUUUCAUUUAGGCCUUAGUCUCAUUGCUACAUACAUUUUGCCAAAGUUAUUUACAGUCACUCUUAUGCCAUCAAGAAACAAAAAAUUAUGAUCUCUCAUAUCCACUUGAGCAUUCUGGGUUCCCCACUCAAAUUUAGUAAGCAUACAGAUUUCCUUUGAUGCAUAUAAUUUUCUUUUAUUCAUGGGAUGCAUACAAAAUUGCUGCAAGAUUCCAUAUCUGUAUGUGCAUGUAUGUAUAUUCUUAUAUGAAUGGUAAUGAAGAAUUAGAUGGUUCUGUAUGUACUUCAAGUUGGUAUAGAAAUUCUCUUUUCCUGGUCAUUUAUAGAUCACCGGUGUGUAGUAAUUUUUGAACUUGCUUUAACUAAAAGACCUAGAAAUCCUCUGAAACUUCAAAUCAAUAAACUAGAUUUACUUUGUCAUUUGAGAAUUAUUAUAACAAACCUAACCAAGCUUCCAUUUUAGUGUCAGUUUUGAUUGGAAUUUGCAACAUGUCAGUAUAUUACGACUGAGAAUAAGCAUCUUCAAAUACUAGGCACUGAAGACUACAACAUCAAUCCAAAUUUGUAUGCCUAGCUAUAAAAAUACUUGGAUUUUCCAUCAAUCCAGAAUUUAACAUUCUAAAGUUAUUUAUGCAUAGUUUAGAAGUUCAUUACAACAUAAGAGUACAAAGGAAGUACAAGAAUAGAUGACACAGAUACUCUUUGCAACCACACAAUUCUCACCAGCCAAAGAUUCGACAA